rnacentral:rRNA from 1 species
UACGGAAGGCAGCAGUGGGGAAUAUUGCACAAUGGGCGAAAGCCUGAUGCAGCUAUGCCGCGUGUAUGAAGAAGGCCUUAGGGUUGUAAAGUACUUUCAUCGGGGAGGAAAAAACAAAACUAAUAAUUUUAUUUCUUGACGUUACCCGAAAAAGAAGCACCGGCUAACUCCGUGCCAGCAGCCGCGGUAAUACGGAGGGUGCUAGCGUUAAUCAGAAUUACUGGGCGUAAAGAGCACGUAGGUGGUUUUUUUAAGUUCAGAUGUGAAAUCCCUGGGCUUAACCUAGGAACUGCAUUUUGAAACUGAAAUACUAGAGUAUCGUAGAGGGAGGUAGAAUUCUAGGUGUAGCGGUGAAAUGCGUAGAUAUCUGGAGGAAUACCUGUGGCGAAAGCGGCCUCCUAAACGAAUACUGACACUGAGUGCGAAAGCGUGGGGAGCAAACAGGGAUUAGAUACC